rnacentral:lncRNA from 1 species
GUGCCUUUCAGUUUUAAUGCAGUUGUAGGAACAUUUUAGUUUUUUAAAGUUUCAAGAGAAAGAAAGAAUGGGUUGUCCACUACAGCUGAAGCAAGGAAGUAAGAAAUAGGAAAAUCUGUGAUAACUUGACAGCAUGGCACAGUGGUGCACAGUUAUGGGCAGACCACUUUGUCCCAAUAUCCCCUCCUGACCCAGGACCUACUUGCUGGUGUAUU